GUUGGGUUGUUGAGAUUGCAGAUGACUGGUGACUGCAAUGGGCAUGGUAUUGGCCUUAUACUAAAGAUUGGUUCUAUGUCAACAGUUGUUUGCAGAGUGGCUCCGUUUGUUGCAGAUCUAACAUAUUACUGGUUGUUUCGGUUUUACCUAAUUGUUGUUUGGUUGCUUUGACUGGUUGGUGGAAUUCUUGUGAAGGUUUAUGUUAUGCUGAAAUUCACCCUUGUUUUUAUGAGAUAUUAGAGCGGUAUUUUGUAUGUUAUUGGUUGAUUCAUUGGCUAAGUUGCAUUCUUCACUUUGCAGGGGAGCAUAAAAGUCUUCAAGACUUGAAGGAUGCAAUUUAGUACAAAUUGCAAUUUUAAAUCAUUGAUAAGAUGGUGGCGGCUAGUUAACGUGCUCUUUGUCAGCCGAUAAUAUGAUUUACCAAAUUCUUGAUAGUGCUGAGAUAUUGAUUCGUUGUGUUGGCCCCCAUAGUUAUGCUGUGUAACCCUUUCUUGAGUUGGAUUGCGCGAGAACGGUUGGUAGCUUGGAAUUGUUUUGCAAGAUUGUUCCAACUUUCAGCUGUGGUGGUGAGAUGAAUGAUAUAAGGAUGGAAGAAGAAAUGGUAGAGAAUCUUGCUGCAAAGAAGUUUCGAUCGACAUGAUGCCAGAGAAGAAGCCCUAGCGGCCACGAAUGGAAACGCGAGCACUUGAGAGGCGAACCAGAAGAAGUAGAGGCGUAGCUGACCAAGGAUGAAGCAAGAUGUUGUUUAACCAAUCACUGGUGGUGAUUGACAAUUGUUGCAGGAUCUGUUGAAAAACUUUUGCAGAAUAACAUCUAAGAAGUUGCUAGCUUAUUCUGCAUAUCGUAUGCACUUUCAUUGGAUAGUACGGCCAUGCCAAUAAAUACUUGUGUAAUGGGAUCGGUACAUCCAAAGAGAUGAAAUGAUGAAUGGCUUACUUUUACAUGAGAAGGAUAUAUGACAAACACAAAAGCAUAAUAUUGGAGUUACAAAUUUGUUGUUACUGUCAACGCUAAUCGUUUAUUGACAUGUUUCAUCAAGGACAUCAGCAUCUAAUUAGGGAGCAUAAUUUUGAGUAUGAUUUAGAUCUGUCUGAGAGAAUGAUUGGAAGGAAUAUUACUUGAAGGCCAGUCUCUAUUGUAGUUAUGGGGGCUCUCGCCUGGUCUUGGAGCCGCUGUAAAGCCUAAAUGCAGAAGAGAAAGGUGAAGAAAGUUAAAAUGCAGGCAACCACGUUAGGGUUGAGGAUAUCACCUAUGUUUGCUUCAUUCAUUGCAUUGUUAAUGAUAAUUAUCAUAUACAACAACAACAAAGCCUUAAUCCCACUACGUGGGGUCGGCUACAUGAAUCUUUUUUCUCCAUUGCAUCCUAUGUAGUGUCAUAUUUAAUGAUAAUUAUCAUAUAUAAAAAAAAAGAUAAACAUUAAUGCGUUAAUAUGAACUUUAAUAAUAAGUGUUGUUAAUAUGAAUUUUAUGAAAAUGGAGAGGAAUAUAAUCACUAAUGUGAGAAGUUGAUUUUAGUGAGUAAUCACAUGCAGUCGUACCUCACAUC